rnacentral:rRNA from 1 species
AACGAACGCUGGCGGCAUGCCUAACACAUGCAAGUCGAACGAGACCUUCGGGUCUAGUGGCGCACGGGUGCGUAACGCGUGGGAACCUGCCCUUAGGUUCGGAAUAACUCCCCGAAAGGGGUGCUAAUACCGGAUAAUGUCUUCGGACCAAAGAUUUAUCGCCUUUGGAUGGGCCCGCGUUGGAUUAGCUAGUUGGUAGGGUAAAAGCCUACCAAGGCGACGAUCCAUAGCUGGUCUGAGAGGAUGAUCAGCCACACUGGGACUGAGACACGGCCCAGACUCCUACGGGAGGCAGCAGUGGGGAAUAUUGGACAAUGGGCUAAAGCCUGAUCCAGCAAUGCCGCGUGAGUGAUGAAGGCCUUAGGGUUGUAAAGCUCUUUUACCCGGGAUGAUAAUGACAGUACCGGGAGAAUAAGCUCCGGCUAACUCCGU